CUCAAAUUUGAAAUCUGGCCCUUGGGUCCGAAUUGUAAUUUGUAGAGGAUGUUUUUGGUGCGGUAUCUUCCGAGUUCCUUGGAACAGGACGCCUUAGAGGGUGAGAGCCCCGUACGGUUGAAUGCCUAGCCUUUGUAAAACUCCUUCGACGAGUCGAGUAGUUUGGGAAUGCUGCUCUAAAUGGGAGGUAAAUUUCUUCUAAAGCUAAAUACUGGCCAGAGACCGAUAGCGCACAAGUAGAGUGAUCGAAAGAUGAAAAGCACUUUGAAAAGAGGGUUAAAUAGCACGUGAAAUUGUUGAAAGGGAAGGAUUUAUGACCAGACUUUUUCUAGGCGAAUCAUCCGGUGUUCUCACCGGUGCACUUUGUUUAGUUUAGGCCAGCAUCGAUUUUCGGGGUGGGAUAAAAGCUUUAGGAAUGUGGCUCCCUCGGGAGUGUUAUAGCCUAUUGUAUAAUACCGCCCUGGGGAUCGAGGUACGCGCUUCUGCAAGGAUGCUGGCGUAAUGGUUAUCAAUCAC
rnacentral:rRNA from 2 species